UACGUAGGGUGCAAGCGUUAAUCGGAAUUACUGGGCGUAAAGCGUGCGCAGGCGGUUUUGUAAGUCCGAUGUGGAAUCCCCGGGCUUAACCUGGGAACUGCGUUUGAAACUACAAGGCUAGAGUGUGGCAGAGGGGGGUGGAAUUCCACGUGUAGCAGUGAAAUGCGUAGAGAUGUGGAGGAACACCGAUGGCGAAGGCAGCCCCCUGGGUUAACACUGACGCUCAGGCACGAAAGCGUGGGGAGCAAACAGG
rnacentral:rRNA from 1 species